CGGAGCCGGCGGAUCCCGUCAGCGCCGAGCGGAGCCUGGCCUGGGGCCCCGGGCUGGACGCGGGGCUCACCGUGCCCGUGCGGUACUUCUACAUCCAGGCGGUCAGCGCGGCCGGACGCAACUUCUCCCGCUCCCCGCCAGUAGCUGGGACUUUAAAUGUGCAAGACAGUCAGCAGCAGCCCAAAGCUGAACAAUUUGUAUGUGACUCCUGCAUGCUGCAUCUGCUUUUCCACAAGCUGGGAGAACACAAUUUAGAGUGGUAAUUAAAGCACUCUCUCCAAAAGAAGUCACCAGAAUUUACACCCCUUGGCCUUUGGAUAGAAAUGAUGGUACAUUCCUUAUGCGGUAUCGGAUGUAUGGAAGUGUCACAAAAGGCUUAAAAAUUGAGAUAUUUUAUGGUGAUCAGCAUGUGGCUCAAUCACCUUAUAUUUUGAAAGGACCAGUUUAUCAUGAAUACUGUGACUGUCCUGAAGAAGACCCUGAGGUCUGGCAGGACAUGAUGUCCUGUCCGUCCCAAGAACCCCAGAUUACAGAAGACUUCAUUUCGUUUCCCACCAUUGACCUGCAGCGAAUGCUCAAGGAGAUCCCAGCAAAGUUCAGCCAAACAAGAGGUGCCAUUGUUCAUUACACUAUUCUCGAUAAUCACAUCUACCGGCGCUCCUUAGGGAAGUACACGGACUUCAAAAUGUUCUCCGAUGAAAUGUUCCUCUCACUGGCCAGGAAGGUUCGUCUUCCUGACGUGGAGUUUUAUCUCAACGUUGGAGACUGGCCAGUUGAGCAUCAGAAAGCUAAUGAUACACCUGGCCCCGUACCUGUCAUCUCCUGGUGUGGCUCUGUGGAUUCCAGAGAUAUCGUCCUGCCAACGUAUGAUGUAACCCACUCAACUCUGGAAACCCUACGGGGAGUCACCAAUGAUCUCCUUUCCAUUCAAGGAAAUACAGGGCCCUUCUGGGAAAACAAAACUGAGCGGGCUUUAUUCAGAGGUCGAGACAGCCGAGAAGAACGUCUCCAUCUUGUCAAGUUAUCCAAGCAAAAUCCAGAACUACUAGAUGCUGGAAUAACUGGAUAUUUCUUCUUCAGAGAAAAGGAAAAAGAGCUGGGGAAGGCUCAGCUGAUGGGCUUCUUUGACUUCUUUAAGUACAAAUACCAAGUGAAUGUAGACGGCACCGUAGCAGCUUACAGGUUUCCAUACCUCUUGCUGGGUGACAGCCUGGUAUUGAAGCAAGAUUCCCAGUACUAUGAACACUUUUAUAUUGGAUUAAAACCUUGGAAACAUUAUGUUCCAGUUAAGAGAAACUUAGAGGACUUGCUAGAGAAAAUAAAAUGGGCUAAGGAAAAUGAUGAGGAAGCAAGAAAAAUUGCUAAAGAAGGACAGCUAAUGGCAAGAGAAUUACUUCAGCCUCACAGGUUUUACUGCUACUAUUAUAAAGUGCUCCAGAACUAUGCUGAACGCCAAGCCAGCAAACCUGAAAUACGGGACGGAAUGGAACUUGUACCUCAGCCUGAUGACAGGGACUCAGUGUGCAGUUGCCACAGGAAAAAGCCUUUAAGGGAAGAUCUAUAACUGUGCUGGAUGGAGAAAAUGACCCACUUAAAAUGCAAGAAUAGGAAUUAAGCUGUGAAAUCUAAGACUCUUAUGCAGUAGCAGACAUUCUUAGUUACGUAUUCUUGUAUUUUCAUACCCUUUUUCAUGCUCAUUCUGAUCUGCGAUGUUGGUUCUCACAAUUUUUGCUCCAUGACCGCCACCAGACACACACCGAGCCUGCACUGGGGAGUGUCUGGGGGAUUUGUUUGAUGUACUGCAUCAGCAGGAAGAAGAGCACAGAGCUGCUCGUGUUCCAGAUGGGACCUAUUUACCAAAGUUUUACGAGGAACUAGUCACCACAAAAGAUCUUGCCAUGAGUCAGUGCAAGUUAUUCUAAAGGAGCAUUUGUGAUACGUUGAAACAGUGUUAUGAUUUCUUCAUAAAGUUUACCUCAGUGUUAGAUUGUUUCUUGUAUACAAAACAAUUUUCGAACUAGACAAAAUGAAUAUUUGAGAUUUACAGAUAUCAGAUCUGGUCUUGCUUUCGGAUUAUUUUGCGGUCUAUGACAGGUAACAGACAACAUGAUAUAACACUCAUCAAUUUUAGAGGAAAAUGGAGAGGAGGGGGAGAGAUUAGAAAAAUAUGUUUACAAGCAGCAUGGCUGUGAAUCACCAGAAUUAAAUGUUGCUUUAAAACAGACUCUGUAACUAUCACAAUCACAGUGCUUUGGGUGCCGAGUCACCACUCUAAAGACCUGUUCCCUGUCAGUGACUGUCUGUGAAUGUAGGCACAGAUCCACAGAAGGACUUGGGAAUUUCAAGCCAUGGGAAACACUGGUGUCUUAGCUCAGCAAUACCAUCUACAGUAUUCUAGACUACGUGAAAUCCAAAAUUUGUUAGAUUUUAGACCACUUAGGUUUACCUUUUGUGUAAUAGUCUAGGGGUUAGAGUCCAUGUAAAGCAAUUGGGAAGCUGGUUGUCCUCCUUGUUUUAAUUCAAAGCCAUUUUUUCCAGAGGGUGCCUCUGCUCCAGACUGGACAAGAGGUUUUCAGGUCUUCUGCUGAAGUUCAUUUGCAGCCAUGGAGCUAGCAAUGCAGAAUUCACAAGGGCAGAAGGAUCUGGUCAUACCUUUCUGAUAAAGUCUGCCUUUGGAUGGGGCAGGAGAAAAAUCCUAGUCCUGGACACAGCUCUGAAUACCUCUGUUGAUUUUUGCCCAAGUUUGUCUGCUUCAAAAUGCAUAAAUAGUCCUGGCAGGAGACACCUAUACCUAGACCAGUGCCCACAAGCACCCAUUUCUGUGUUUUCAUCUUGGCUACAUCAAGCUACCUGAGCAGCUCCUGAUCCUCUACGGUCAGAUAAAAGCUUUCAUGGAUACCAAAUCCUCACUACACUAAAAAGCAUUGGGAUGUCUUCAGACAGUGGACUUGUCUGAUUGAUUUGGUGCACAAAAUUUAGUGCUCUGUGUGUCAUGCAGGCUUUUUCCUUGGUUCUACGCUGUAAAGUACAUAAAAUUUCUGCAUUAAAGCAGCAGGAAAGGCAGUAUGCUAAAUAUGGAAAGAACUUCAGCUUUCUAAAGAGGUCAGUGCAACUGUCCAGUCAUUUUUUACAUUAUGCCAGUUAAGAGAACCUGUAUCAUGUUGCUCUAUCCAUAAUCCUCUUUGUUCUGGUUCUAACACUCCUAUUUAUAGUGGCUGUAUUUUUAUUUAAAAUGAAAAUCAGUCCUAGAACUUCAGGCUAUAAAUACAUGUUCAACUCAUCUGACAUAAGAUUUUCUACAUCAGAGUUCAGGAACAGGGUUCCAUUGCUGAAGCUGACACUUAAGAAUGAGUAUGUGCUCCCCUUCUGUUCUAUGUGUACGGUCAUUAGUACUGUAUUACAUGAUCUUAUUUUGGGAAAUUACCCAUUAGGCCGUGUGCUUUUUAUAUUCACCAGUGUUUAUGGAGGUGGUGUGCUCAGUAAAGGCAAGUAAGCAUAAAAGGUGUUUGAACAACAAAGUUUUCUACAUAUUUCAAAUCAAGGGUCCAAAAGUGAUUCAUUUAUAUUUUUUAAAAUGGGAGAGAACAGGGGGAGUCAUGACACAUACUUCAUGGUUCUUUAGAAAUAUGUAGGAAAACUUGCCUGGCUUGAAACAGAAGUAUUUAAAGGAAGGAAGAAUCAGAUAAAAUUUAAAUUAUGAAUAUAAAGAAAUGUGAAUAUUUUAUCCCUCCUUUCUUCCCUCAUAAAAAGGGAAAGGAACUACCCUUAAUUCCUCUCUGCCAGAAAACGUCCUUGCUUUUGUAAUAAGUGUCACUUCAAAGCAAGUACUGGUUUGUCAACAGAGUGCCUUACAGAUGCUUUUAUAGCUUACAGGCAAGAAAUACCCUGAAAAAUAUGACUGUAUUAAUCUUCUUGCUGUAACUAAAAAAAUAGUAGAGAGAUGGUGGAACUUUUACUACAAGUUCAUAGUAAUUUGAGAAGAUACAGUUCAGGUUAUAACUACAGCUCUUCCAAAGAUAAAAGAAGGUAAGGCAAAGUCUCUCUUCUUUCCAUUGGUACUACUAUAUGCAAUUUAAAUUGUAAUGAAGAACAAUCAUAACUGUUUCCUCACCAGGCCAGAAGAGAUGUCAGAUCUGUUUGAGUUUGAUGAGACAAUGAUACCCAUCGGCCUGGUGUGUUGCAGGAAACGCUAAAUAUUGAGUAAAACCUGGUUUUACAAGUGAAGUGUAAUACAUACAUUAAAUAGAAUUUUUAAGUGGCGUAGACUGGACUUUGUAUUAUUCUGUGGUAGUUCUUGAACAGCAGCUGUUAAAAGGUGUAAAAAUCUCUUGUUGGUGGUAAUUUGGAAAACUGUUACCAUAUCACAGUACUAAAUUUUGCUAUAGUAAUUUCAGCUUUUAAAUAGUUUUUAAAUAAAAACCUGUUCUAUGUUUGUCAGGGAUUUACCAGUGAUGACGGAGGCAGGUUUAUUUGUUUGAAAUAGUAUGUCCUAAAACUCAGGGCCCAUGUUUUCAAACACAGGAAUGCACAGAGAAGGGGUUUGACUUCCAAAAAUGUUGAGAAGAUUCUUUACCUAAUGUUCUUUAUUUUCAGAUUUCUUCAACCUUAACAUAGCUUCAUAUAGUGAACACUGCUUUUAUGUUACAUCAUAUAUGUGGUCCUAAUAUAUUUAGGCUCCCCCAUUUGGAAAUACCCAACCUCAGUUUCGUGUUGAAAUGAGAACUAGUAAAUCCUAAUCUGUUGAACAUAAAGGAGAUACACUUUCAUAUAUAUUUUAGACUGUAUUUUUUUACAUUUACCUCAAGAUCACCAAUAUACUGGUUUCGUGACAGAAUUGUGCCAGGCCUGCCUUGUAGAUUCAUGAUUUAAAAAACCCUAUAAUCAAAGCUUGUCUGAUGGAAUGUUAGAUUCAAGCAUCCAUGCUGGGAAGCAUACGCCCGACAUUUAUUACAUUACAAAGUAAAUUAUUUAGUUAGGGAGGAGAGCUGACAAGCAAAACAUACAUCACCUGUUGGAGCACGUCUGAGAAGCUUGCAAAGAAACUGUAAUAAGGAAAAGAAGCAUUAUAUAAACCUACGAUACUAUCAGCUCCUUUAGCUCUGCAGUUUUGCGAAAAUUUUGUCUGUGAGGGCGGUGAUGAAGUGCAAGAUUUUAUAUUAAUAAGUUAUUGUUUAAGUUCGCAGGAUUUAACGGCUAGAAUCUUCUUGACUGUGAGAAAUUUUACAGCGUUUUAAUGAGGUUGUAUGAGUACUCAUGCUUGAGUUUUGAGUACAGUGCUUCUGUGUUGAGUCAUUCAUAGCAAAGUCUAGACUGCAGCCAGAUAUGGCACUGGUUUUGGAUUUUGCUGUGAGAAUAAGGGUAAAAGGACGGGUUUUUUGCAUGUUUGUUUGAAGUCAUUUUAAACAUCUGUAGCACAUUCCUUAACUGAGUCCCAUCAUACAAGCAGGAGGUGUGCUAGCAGGAGUGUGGCCAGCAGGUCAAGGCAGGUGCCUCUUCCCACCUGCUUGGCAGUUGUGAGGCUGCAGCUGAAGUCCCUUAUUCAGCCUUGGACUCCCCGGAACGAGAAACACGUUGACACCCAACAUGGACCACCAAGUCAUGCAGUACACAGAAGAUUUGACAGAAGUGAGAUACAUUGAUUUGGCAUUACAGUCCUGGACUGAAAGUGCAAGAUGAGCUCCUUGAAGAAGCUGAAUAUAUACUUUACAGGAACACUUGCUCCCGUCAUGGAGCCAGCAGGUAUUCCCCUGGCUGGUAUCUCAAGGUCUGAGAGCCGUGACAGCUUUCCUGGCACUUCCCCAGGAUCGAGCAUUCACUCACAGCAGGAAAAUCAGCCCCUGGAUGUUCAGUUAAACCAAUGCUUAUUACAGGGUCUGUUUUUCCAUGGAACAAUGCCACGUAUUUAUAGUUGCUGCUGCCUUAUUUGUAUACUAUUGCACCUACAUUUGUAUUCUCCCUGUAUUGUCAGACUAAUACUUGUCUGGAUUUAGCUUUGCAUUUUAAUUUAAUGUGAAAUUACGUGUAAUUGCUUUCUGUAAUAAAUUUUAAUUUGGAGUACUGAUGGGGAUGAAGGCCUCUGGCAAAAGCUGGCUCUUAGAACUGGCCUGAGUAGUUUCAAAAGCUAUCUUGUGAGUAUAGCUGGGCCUGCUUUCAAACAGAUUUUAUAUUACUUUCACAGCUUUUUGAUCACAGUUUCAAAGUCUUUGUCUUUGAAAUCAGGUUGCAAUAUCAUCAGCAAAUCUAGGGUGUGUUUUGUCUUGUGCUUUAUGUCCUCUUCUUCAAUCAAGGAUUUUGAAACUCUUUGUUACUUAAAAGGCAAAAGGUUUUGUGGAACAGUAUUUCCUGGCUUAAUCAGUACAGCUUUUCUCCUCUUUUAUUGACCUGAUUUUAUCCAUCUAGCUGAUCUAACAGCGCUAACCAUAUAUUAGAGCUUUAUUUUAAAAUAAAAGAACUUAAGGGUGGUUUGAGAUUUUUUACCUGUGAUAAAGUAAAUAAUACAGGAUAAUAUGCUACAUGAUAAGAAGGAUUAAUAAAUUAAAAUGAAAUUAA